rnacentral:rRNA from 1 species
UGUCGUCAGCUCGUGUCGUGAGAUGUUGGGUUAAGUCCCGCAACGAGCGCAACCCUCAUCCUUAGUUGCCAUCAGGUAAUGCUGAGCACUUUAAGGAAACUGCCAGUGAUAAGCUGGAGGAAGAUGGGGAUGAUGUCAAGUCAUCAUGGCCUUUAUGAAGUGGGCUACACACGUGCUACAAUGGUGUCUACAAUGGGCUGCAAGGUGCGCAAGCCUAAGCUAAUCCCUAAAAGACAUCUCAGUUCGGAUUGUACUCUGCAACUCGAGUGCAUGAAGUUGGAAUCGCUAGUAAUCGUGGAUCAGCAUGCCACGGUGAAUACGUUCUCGGGUCUUGUACACACUGCCCGUCACGCCAUGGGAAUUG